rnacentral:tRNA from 1 species
UCCCUGGUGGCUCAGUUGGUAAAGCAUCUGCCUACAAUGCAGGAGACCCAGGUUCAAUCCCUGGGUUGAGAA